rnacentral:rRNA from 1 species
GAUGAACGCUGGCGGCGUGCCUAAUACAUGCAAGUCGAGCGAACAGACGAGGAGCUUGCUCCUCUGACGUUAGCGGCGGACGGGUGAGUAACACGUGGAUAACCUACCUAUAAGACUGGGAUAACUUCGGGAAACCGGAGCUAAUACCGGAUAAUAUAUUGAACCGCAUGGUUCAAUAGUGAAAGACGGUUUUGCUGUCACUUAUAGAUGGAUCCGCGCCGCAUUAGCUAGUUGGUAAGGUAACGGCUUACCAAGGAAACGAUGCGUAGCCGACCUGGGAGGGGGAACGGCCACUGAGGAACUGAACGGCGGCGCCAGCCCCGAGGGAAGGCCGAGGAAGGGAUUCUUCCCAAAAGGGGGAAAGCCUGAGGGAGAAACGCCGGGGGGUGGAAGAAGGUCUUCGGACCGUAAAACGCUUUUAGUAGGGAAAAACAAAUGUGUAAGUAACUAGGCACGUUUGAACGUAACCGAAAAAGAAACCCCCGGUAAAUUCCUG